CACCGCCGGGCAUCUACGCCCCACAACGACACGACUUUACCAUGGACACAAGAGGUACCGCCAUAGCAACGGUCAAUAAACACGUACCUACCAUAGAUACUAUAAAAAUACUCUCAUACAAUGUCAGGGGACUAAAUUCUCCUGAAAAGAGGAAUAUGGCACUGAGGGACUUUCAAAGAAUACAAGCCGAUGUUGUUUUCGUGCAGGAGACGCACUUUAAAGGACCCACGGCACCAAAACUCACCAAUAGACACUACCCCCACGCGUAUUACAACAAUUUCACACAUAGCAAAUCCCGCGGGGUUGCCAUUCUGAUAGGGGCCAAGAUACCAUUUGUGUACAGCCAGCAUUUCGCGGAUGAUUCAGGCCGCUAUGUUAUACUACAGGGACAGAUUAGCAACUACCCGGUGACCCUGGUCAAUCUAUACCUUCCAAACACACGACAAUGUCACACCCUCCGUAAAAUCUUAAACAAGGUUCAACAACUUACAACAGGGACCUUAAUUAUAGGGGGAGACUUCAACGUAUCUCUAGAUGCUCAAAAAGAUAGCACGG